rnacentral:rRNA from 1 species
UGGGGAAUAUUGCACAAUGGAGGGAACUCUGAUGCAGCGACGCCGCGUGAACGAAGAAGGCUUUCGAGUCGUAAAGUUCUUUUAUAUGGGAAGAUAAUGACGGUACCAUAAGAAAAAGCCCCGGCUAACUACGUGCCAGCAGCCGCGGUAAUACGUAGGGGGCUAGCGUUGUCCGGAAUCACUGGGCGUAAAGGGCUUGUAGGUGGUUUGUCGCGUCUGUCGUGAAAUCCUGUGGCUUAACCAUGGGCUUGCGGUGGGUACGGGCAGGCUUGAGUGCGGUAGGGGAGACUGGAAUUCCUGGUGUAGCGGUGGAAUGCGCAGAUAUCAGGAGGAACACCGGUGGCGAAGGCGGGUCUCUGGGCCGUUACUGACACUGAGGAGCGAAAGCGUGGGGAGCGAACAGG